CCGAGUUUACAACUCCCAAACCCCUGUGAACAUACCACUUGUUGCCUCGGCGGAUCAGCCCGCUCCCGGUAAAACGGGACGGCCCGCCAGAGGACCCCUAAACUCUGUUUUCUAUAUGUAACUUCUGAGUAAAACCAUAAAUAAAUCA
rnacentral:misc_RNA from 1 species